CAGCAGCCGCGGGAAUACGAAGGGUGCAAGCGUUAAUCGGAAUUACUGGGCGUAAAGCGUGCGUAGGCGGUUUGUUAAGUCUGCUGUGAAAUCCCCGGGCUCAACCUGGGAAUGGCAGUGGAUACUGGCAAGCUAGAGUGUGUCAGAGGAUGGUGGAAUUCCCGGUGUAGCGGUGAAAUGCGUAGAGAUCGGGAGGAACAUCAGUGGCGAAGGCGGCCAUCUGGGACAACACUGACGCUGAGGCACGAAAGCGUGGGGAGCAAACAGGAUUAGAUACCCGCGUAGUCCCUGUCUCUUAUAC
rnacentral:rRNA from 1 species